rnacentral:rRNA from 1 species
GACGAACGCUGGCGGCGUGCUUAACACAUGCAAGUCGAACGGUAAGGCCCUUCGGGGUACACGAGUGGCGAACGGGUGAGUAACACGUGGGUGAUCUGCCCUGCACUUCGGGAUAAGCCUGGGAAACUGGGUCUAAUACCGGAUAGGACCACUGCCUGCAUGGGGGGUGGUGGAAAGCUUUUGCGGAGUGGGAUGGGCCCGCGGGCUAUCAGCUUGUGGGUGGGGUGAUGGCCUACCAAGGCGACGACGGGUAGCCGGCCUGAGAGGGUGACCGGCCACACUGGGACGGGGAUACGGCGCAGACGCCUACGGGAGGCAGCAGUGGGGAAGAUUGCACAAUGGGCGCAAGCCUGAUGCAGCGACGCCGCGUGAGGGAUGACGGCCUUCGGGUUGUAAACCUCUUUCAGCACCGACGAAGCGCAAGUGACGGUAGGUGCAGAAGAAGGACCGGCCAACUACGUGCCAGCCGCCGCGGUAA